UGGAUUCUCCCGGGUAACUAAUGAUCCUGUUCUCUUGCUUCUGUGUUAGGAGGGCACUCCAGGAAGAGUCAUCAAGAACAGGCCUACAGGCCACCCCAUCCUUUGGACUCCAUCUGAAUUUCAGGUGGCCAUCCAGAGAGCUGAUAUGCAGGAGUGUUUUGCUAGACUCAUCUGUAGACUGUGUAAAAGGAAAGUGAAGUUAUGUGGAGC
rnacentral:lncRNA from 1 species